rnacentral:rRNA from 1 species
UACAUGGGGUGCAAACGUUGCUCGGAAUUAUUGGGCGUAAAGCGCACGUAGGCGGUUUGUUAAGUCGGAUGUGAAAUCCCUCGGCUCAACUGAGGAAGUGCAUCCGAAACUGGCAAGCUUGAGUACGAAAGAGGGUCGCGGAAUUCCCGGUGUAGAGGUGAAAUUCGUAGAUAUUCGGAAGAACACCAGUGGCGAAGGCGACUUACUGGACACAUAUUGACGCUGAGGUGCGAAAGCGUGGGGAGCAAACAGG